GCCCUUAUAGCUCAGUGGUAGAGCGCGGCACUCGUAUGGCGUGGAGUUCCAUGUUAUUAUCGAUAUGCCGAGGUCCAUCGUUCAAUCCGGUGUGGGGGCA